AAACCUAAACCAGCUAAUACAAAAUGAUCAGAUCAGAAAGCAUGGGUAUCGAGCUCAAGAUCAUAACAACUAAAAUAGAAUCAGCUUCGACCUCAACUGGAUAGUCUAGUUCGAGUAGAAGAGUCAGAGGAUGGAAGGUGAUAGGUUGAACAAAAGUGGGCUCAUUGGAUACGGAGGGUUUGGACUGGAGCUGAGUCCUAAUGGCAUCUAGUUGGGACAAAACUCCUCUCACUAAAACUCUGAGCCCCUCA
rnacentral:lncRNA from 1 species